UUCGUCUCUAUCAAGGGAGUACCAAACCCUUUUAUCUGCUUCGUCCCCUCCCCUGUGCGUGGGGGUAUAAAGCACCGGGCUCUGCUUCCGUCACGCGAGACGGCGAGAGCACAACAUUAGCAGCGGUUGUACCUUGGGGGCCGCUAAAGCAGCUUGGUCCAAGCUGUCUGUAGAACUUAAGCAACUCCGAUCCCAGCCACGGGACACGGCAGAUUGAAGCCAUCAGCUCCGGUUUCUGGCGCCGGAUUUGGGAUCCGCGCGAUGUCUUGGUCCGCGCCCGACGACAUCCUCCUCUCCACCUCACUCGCGGGCUUCCUGGACAAGAAACUUAUUGUCCUGCUAAGAGAUGGACGGAAACUUCUUGGCACCCUCUGCUCAUUUGAUCAGUUUGCAAAUGUUGUUCUUCAGGGUGCUUGUGAACGAGUAAUUGUAGGGGAACAAUAUUGUGAUGUUCCUCUUGGUCUGUAUGUGAUCCGGGGAGAGAACGUUGUUUUAAUCGGAGAAUUGGAUCACGAAAAGGAUGAACUCCCCGCUCACAUGACAUGUGUUUUAGAAGCAGAAAUUAGAAAGUGAUACAGAUUGUUCAUGAACAACCCUGUGUUUUCCCGAAGAUAAUUCUAACUGUGGCUCUAAAAAGUUUGUUGUCUUGCUCCUUUACUGGGUGUUUCACUGGCUGAGAAGGCGGAGCGGGAAGCAAGGGAUCUGAAAGGCACGAUGAGGAAACGGAUGGAGUUCCUAGACUUCGACUGAUAAUAAACCCGUUCCCGUGGUGGUUGCUGCUCCCCUCCCAUUGCGGCCGCGGAGUUUUUAGUGGCGGCCUGUGCCAUACCUGAUGACUAGCAGUGAUGUUUUCUACGUACUUUUGAUGCCACAUCAGAUCCUUUGAGCGCCUCCUGAUACGGCUGUCACUUCUCUCUGAUUAUUACUACUGCCUGGGGAGAUGCCAUGUGCUCUCCUCCGUCGUCGUUUGCAACAGUGCAUUCGCCCUAUCUCGUGAUUUAUUUAUUUAUUUAUUUAUAUAACUGGUAUUACUGUACUA